CCAUGUUUGGAAGGUGAUUUUCUC
rnacentral:miRNA from 1 species